rnacentral:tRNA from 6 species
AGGGGAGUAGCUCAGUUGGUAGAGCGGCGGUCUCCAAAACCGUAGGUCGCAGGUUCGAACCCUGUCUCCCCUGCCA